CAUGGAGACAUACAACUGGGAUGAUCCACUGAACCCUCAUGUGACAGUGAUAGUUUAGAGGCUUCUUCCUUGGUUUGCUGGUGUUACUUUU